UCCGUAGGUGAACCUGCGGAGGGAUCAUUACAAGUGACCCCGGUCUAACCACCGGGAUGUUCAUAACCCUUUGUUGUCCGACUCUGUUGCCUCCGGGGCGACCCUGCCUUCGGGCGGGGGCUCCGGGUGGACACUUCAAACUCUUGCGUAACUUUGCAGUCUGAGUAAACUUAAUUAAUAAAUUAAAACUUUUAACAACGGAUCUCUUGGUUCUGGCAUCGAUGAAGAACGCAGCGAAAUGCGAUAAGUAAUGUGAAUUGCAGAAUUCAGUGAAUCAUCGAAUCUUUGAACGCACAUUGCGCCCCCUGGUAUUCCGGGGGGCAUGCCUGUUCGAGCGUCAUUUCACCACUCAAGCCUCGCUUGGUAUUGGGCAACGCGGUCCGCCGCGUGCCUCAAAUCGACCGGCUGGGUCUUCUGUCCCCUAAGCGUUGUGGAAACUAUUCGCUAAAGGGUGUUCGGGAGGCUACGCCGUAAAACAACCCCAUUUUCUAAGGUGACCUCGGAUC
rnacentral:sRNA from 1 species